rnacentral:lncRNA from 1 species
CUCUGGUUUCCUCUGCCCAAAGAAUUGGCACUGAUGAUAGAAGAGACACUUAGUCGAACAGGCUGAAGCCCAUGUCCUGCAAAUGCAAAUCCAUCAAAACAAUUAGUUGUUGAACUAAGUUUGAUAAAAGCAAUACGCUUACUACCACACCUAGAAGAACAGCAAGGCUGGAUGGUAUAUGGAAUGACACAGAAAAUUAGCAUAACAAUGGAGGCGUUUGCUGAAGCAUAAUCAAUACUGAAACAUAGGCAAUAAAAACAUUUGCUGCAAGAUAACAUAUGAAAGCAAAGUCUUUGGUGUACUACCUGAAAAUAACAUCUUACAGGGAAUAUAAUGAAUACUAAAGCAAACAUAGGCAAUAAAAAUGAGCUUACAUCAUCACUCUCUUCCUUCUCCUCCACCUUCUCUUCCUUCUUAGCCUCAGCUGCAGGAGCAGCACCACCAGCAGCAGGAGCAGCAGCCGCAACAGCAACACCACCGCCACCGCAUGGGACCGAAGCGAACUUCUCCCUACCAGCAGCAAUGAGCUCAGUGAUGUCUUUACCAAUCAGUUGGGACAGCAGGAGCUCCAUCUUUUCAUUGUCAACCUCAGCACCAACUGCAACAUAAGAAACAAGAUUAAAUGCAUCAUCUAUAUAGUACAUAAUGCACAUGUAACUUUAAACCAUAGAAUACUUGAUCUAUAUCAGAAUGAAUGCACAACUCAAAUCAACAUUAAAAAAUUAAUCAGUGCUCAGUUUGGUCACUUCCAAUUAAUUAAACAAUAUAAAGGUGGCAAAUAUAUAUCCAAUUAAACAAUAUAAAGGUGGCAAAUAUAUACUGCACUCUACAAAUGGACAAGGCUAUUGCCAAAAUUGAUGACUUAACAGACAAGCUCAAUUAACAGUAACGAGUUGUUCGAACAAGCAAUUAGAUAAAUGUUAUUACCUGACUCCAGAAUAGUCGUCAGAUCCUCCGCAGAGGGGCUGUUGUUGCCAGCAAGGACAGCAAGCAGAUAGGCAGCAACGAACUUCAUCCUGUUCAAUCCACAAAGAAAACAGUGUCACUAGAGUCCAUUUUUUUCAGGCAUAAAAGGAGCUAGAUUAAGUGAUAGCGUAACAAUAGAGUACCAUCAGCAAAACCCAACCAAAAGAUUAUACAAAUUAGCUUACAAUCUAGUUGACAACACAUGAAUCCAUCAUCAUACAACAAUGAAGCUGAAAAUUUCAAAAUUUUGGAUACAUGAAUUGAAAUAAUCUAAGACACGCACAGUCUAGAACAGCACUCAUCAAAUCUUAACCACGUCUUCGCAGCUUGUAAGCCACGCUAAUAAUUCCAUUAAAUAUGCUCUAAACGAUUCAAGUAAAUCCUAAUGGUCAGCAUACAAUCUGACGGCUAAGCGCCUGAUUUACCAUCUCACUCGGGACGGUUGGACCUGAAAAACUACCACCAAACAAACAUUUGCAAACCAUCAUCCCAUUUCUACGAGACCAAAUCUACCGACUAAUAUGGCGUCACAAGACUAGCAAAACACGCAUUUUGGAGCAAAUACAACCCUAGAACGAACAGCCAGAUCGCUGUAACGACCAGAAGACAGGAUGCGCAAAGGGAUCUAACGUUAGAGAAUCGGCGGGGCAUACCUGGAUUGUGGAAAGUGAGAGCCCGAGGAGCGGCGCGGCGGCGGCGGCAGGGAGCUCGAGCGGAAGGAUUUCUGCGAGGAAGGGUC